UCAUGGUUAAGUGGGAAACGAUGUGGGAAGGCCCAGACAGCCAGGAUGUUGGCUUAGAAGCAGCCAUCAUUUAAAGAAAGCGUAAUAGCUCACUGGUCGAGUCGGCCUGCGCGGAAGAUGUAACGGGGCUAAACCAUGCACCGAAGCUGCGGCAGCGACGCUGAUGCGUUGUUGGGUAGGGGAGCGUUCUGUAAGCCUGCGAAGGUGUGCUGUGAGGCAUGCUGGAGGUAUCAGAAGUGCGAAUGCUGACAUAAGUAACGAUAAAGCGGGUGAAAAGCCCGCUCGCCGGAAGACCAAGGGUUCCUGUCCAACGUUAAUCGGGGCAGGGUGAGUCGACCCCUAAGGCGAGGCCGAAAGGCGUAGUCGAUGGGAAACAGGUUAAUAUUCCUGUACUUGGUGUUACUGUGAAGGGGGGACGGAGAAGGCUAUGUUGGCCGGGCGACGGUUGUCCCGGUUUAAGCGUGUAGGCUGGUUUUCCAGGCAAAUCCGGAAAACUAAGGCUGAGGCGUGAUGACGAGGCACUACGGUGCUGAAGCAACAAAUGCCCUGCUUCCAGGAAAAGCCUCUAAGCAUCAGGUAACAUCAAAUCGUACCCCAAACCGACACAGGUGGUCAGGUAGAGAAUACCAAGGCGCUUGAGAGAACUCGGGUGAAGGAACUAGGCAAAAUGGUGCCGUAACUUCGGGAGAAGGCACGCUGAUAUGUAGGUGAAGUCCCUCGCGGAUGGAGCUGAAAUCAGUCGAAGAUACCAGCUGGCUGCAACUGUUUAUUAAAAACACAGCACUGUGCAAACACGAAAGUGGACGUAUACGGUGUGACGCCUGCCCGGUGCCGGAAGGUUAAUUGAUGGGGUCAGCGCAAGCGAAGCUCUUGAUCGAAGCCCCGGUAAACGGCGGCCGUAACUAUAACGGUCCUAAGGUAGCGAAAUUCCUUGUCGGGUAAGUUCCGACCUGCACGAAUGGCGUAAUGAUGGCCAGGCUGUCUCCACCCGAGACUCAGUGAAAUUGAACUCGCUGUGAAGAUGCAGUGUACCCGCGGCAAGACGGAAAGACCCCGUGAACCUUUACUAUAGCUUGACACUGAACAUUGAGCCUUGAUGUGUAGGAUAGGUGGGAGGCUUUGAAGUGUGGACGCCAGUCUGCAUGGAGCCGACCUUGAAAUACCACCCUUUAAUGUUUGAUGUUCUAACGUUGACCCGUAAUCCGGGUUGCGGACAGUGUCUGGUGGGUAGUUUGACUGGGGCGGUCUCCUCCUAAAGAGUAACGGAGGAGCACGAAGGUUGGCUAAUCCUGGUCGGACAUCAGGAGGUUAGUGCAAUGGCAUAAGCCAGCUUGACUGCGAGCGUGACGGCGCGAGCAGGUGCGAAAGCAGGUCAUAGUGAUCCGGUGGUUCUGAAUGGAAGGGCCAUCGCUCAACGGAUAAAAGGUACUCCGGGGAUAACAGGCUGAUACCGCCCAAGAGUUCAUAUCGACGGCGGUGUUUGGCACCUCGAUGUCGGCUCAUCACAUCCUGGGGCUGAAGUAGGUCCCAAGGGUAUGGCUGUUCGCCAUUUAAAGUGGUACGCGAGCUGGGUUUAGAACGUCGUGAGACAGUUCGGUCCCUAUCUGCCGUGGGCGCUGGAGAACUGAGGGGGGCUGCUCCUAGUACGAGAGGACCGGAGUGGACGCAUCACUGGUGUUCGGGUUGUCAUGCCAAUGGCACUGCCCGGUAGCUAAAUGCGGAAGAGAUAAGUGCUGAAAGCAUCUAAGCACGAAACUUGCCCCGAGAUGAGUUCUCCCUGACUCCUUGAGAGUCCUGAAGGAACGUUGAAG
rnacentral:rRNA from 1 species